CGUACACUCCUGCGGGAGGCAGCAGUGGGGAAUAUUGGACAAUGGGCGCAAGCCUGAUCCAGCCAUGCCGCGUGAGUGAUGAAGGCACUAGGGUUGUAAAGCUCUUUCACCGGUGAAGAUAAUGACGGUAACCGGAGAAGAAGCCCCGGCUAACUUCGUGCCAGCAGCCGCGGUCAUACGAAGGGGGCUAGCGUUGUUCGGAUUUACUGGGCGUAAAGCGCACGUAGGCGGACUAUUAAGUCAGGGGUGAAAUCCCGGGGCUCAACCCCGGAACUGCCUUUGAUACUGGUAGUCUUGAGUUCGAGAGAGGUGAGUGGAAUUCCGAGUGUAGAGGUGAAAUUCGUAGAUAUUCGGAGGAACACCAGUGGCGAAGGCGGCUCACUGGCUCGAUACUGACGCUGAGGUGCGAAAGCGUGGGGAGCAAACAGGAGUAGAUACCCCGGUAGUCCCAUGAU
rnacentral:rRNA from 1 species